CUAUCGCUGCUUGUGCAGCUCUAAUACCAUUAGUCACUUGUUAUUGUUUUUUAGCCGCUAAUGUUAAAUUAAGAUAAAUAUGGAAGUAGAAUUCAGCAAAGAGAACUUUCUGCUGCCAGAGACAAAGUAUGAGUACCUGGACCACACGGCCGACGUGCAACUCCAUGCCUGGGGCACUACGCUGACGGAGGCCUUCGAGCAGUGCGGCGUCUCCAUGUUCGGAUACAUGACGGAGCUGGAGUACGUGUCCGUGGAGAGCUGCUAUGAGAUCGAGGCCAAGGGCGAUGAUCUGGAGGGCCUAUUGUUUCACUUUCUCGACGAGCUGCUAUUCCUGUUCUCCUGUGAGCCGAAUCUGGUGUGCAAGAAACUGGAAAUCACCAAAUUCGAUCUGGAGACCUUCGAGAUUGUCUGCCGCUGCUACGGCGAACCAUUCGAGCUGGGCAAACAUCCGCAGGGCACCGAGGUGAAGGCAAUAACCUACUCGGCCAUGCAAAUCGUACAGGACGCGGACAACAGCAACUUCGAAGUGUUUGUUAUAAUUGAUAUUUGAGCAAAGCUGUCGCCGGUGCAAACGGAUCCCCCCGGAUAUCCAGUGAUUUUUUCGCUUAGCUGGUAUGUCGAUUGCAUUUACUCCUUCCUUGUCUCCAUUAAUCAUAAGUGAAAUGCCAAAAACAAAAA